rnacentral:rRNA from 1 species
UAGGGAAUCUUCGGCAAUGGACGAAAGUCUGACCGAGCAACGCCGCGUGAGUGAAGAAGGUUUUCGGAUCGUAAAACUCUGUUGGUAGAGAAGAACGUUGGUGAGAGUGGAAAGCUCAUCAAGUGACGGUAACUACCCAGAAAGGGACGGCUAACUACGUGCCAGCAGCCGCGGUAAUACGUAGGUCCCGAGCGUUGUCCGGAUUUAUUGGGCGUAAAGCGAGCGCAGGUGGUUUAUUAAGUCUGGUGUAAAAGGCAGUGGCUCAACCAUUGUAUGCAUUGGAAACUGGUAGACUUGAGUGCAGGAGAGGAGAGUGGAAUUCCAUGUGUAGCGGUGAAAUGCGUAGAUAUAUGGAGGAACACCGGUGGCGAAAGCGGCUCUCUGGCCUGUAACUGACACUGAGGCUCGAAAGCGUGGGGAGCAAACAGGAUUAGAUACCCUGGUAGUCUACGCCGUAAACGAUGAGUGCUAGAUGUAGGGAGCUAUAAGUUCUCUGUAUCGCAGCUAACGCAAUAAGCACUCCGCCUGGGGAGUACGAC